UACAGAGGUCCCAAGCGUUGUUCGGAUUCAUUGGGCGUCAAGGGUGCGUAGGCGGCGCGGUAAGUCGGGUGUGAAAUCUCGGAGCUUAACUCCGAAACUGCAUUCGAUACUGCCGUGCUUGAGGACUGGAGAGGAGACUGGAAUUUACGGUGUAGCGGUGAAAUGCGUAGAUAUCGUAAGGAAGACCAGUGGCGAAGGCGGGUCUCUGGACAGUUCCUGACGCUGAGGCACGAAGGUCAGGGGAGCAAACGGG
rnacentral:rRNA from 1 species